rnacentral:rRNA from 1 species
GACGAACGCUGGCGGCGUGCUUAACACAUGCAAGUCGAACGGAAAGGCCCUGCUUUUGUGGGGUGCUCGAGUGGCGAACGGGUGAGUAACACGUGAGUAACCUGCCCUUGACUUUGGGAUAACUUCAGGAAACUGGGGCUAAUACCGGAUAGGAGCUCCUGCUGCAUGGUGGGGGUUGGAAAGUUUCGGCGGUUGGGGAUGGACUCGCGGCUUAUCAGCUUGUUGGUGGGGUAGUGGCUUACCAAGGCUUUGACGGGUAGCCGGCCUGAGAGGGUGACCGGCCACAUUGGGACUGAGAUACGGCCCAGACUACUACGGGAGGCAGCAGUGGGGAAUAUUGCACAAUGGGCGGAAGCCUGAUGCAGCAACGCCGCGUGCGGGAUGACGGCCUUCGGGUUGUAAACCGCUUUCGCCUGUGACGAAGCGUGAGUGACGGUAAUGGGUAAAGAAGCACCGGCUAACUACGU